GGAAAUAAGUUGAACAAGAUAAAGCUGCUAACUUUUUUCUUUAAUGGUUUAAAUCCAUUUUUAUUUCU
rnacentral:tRNA from 1 species